rnacentral:rRNA from 1 species
UACAGAGGGUGCGAGCGUUAAUCGGAAUUACUGGGCGUAAAGCGCGCGUAGGCGGCUUUGCAAGUCGGGUGUGAAAUCCCCAGGCUUAACCUGGGAACUGCAUUCGAGACUGCAUUGCUAGAGUAUGGGAGAGGGAAGUGGAAUUUCCGGUGUAGCGGUGAAAUGCGUAGAUAUCGGGAGGAAGGCCGGUGGCGAAGGCGGCGCUCUGGAACAUUUCUGACGCUGAGGCUCGAAAGCGUGGGGAGCAAACAGG